CAGCAGCCGCGGGAAUAUGGAGGGGGCUAGCGUUAUUCGGAAUUACUGGGCGUAAAGCGCACGUAGGCGGCUUCGCAAGUCAGAGGUGAAAGCCUGGGGCUCAACUCCAGAAUUGCCUUUGAGACUGCGUCGCUCGAAUCCGGGAGAGGUGAGUGGAAUUCCGAGUGUAGAGGUGAAAUUCGUAGAUAUUCGGAAGAACACCAGUGGCGAAGGCGGCUCACUGGACCGGUAUUGACGCUGAGGUGCGAAAGCGUGGGGAGCAAACAGGAUUAGAUACCCCCGUAGUCCCUGUCUCUUAUAC
rnacentral:rRNA from 1 species